rnacentral:rRNA from 1 species
GAGUUUGAUCCUGGCUCAGGACGAACGCUGGCGGCGUGCUUAACACAUGCAAGUCGAACGAGAAUCUACUGAAAGAGUUUUCGGACAAUGGAAGUAGAGGAAAGUGGCGGACGGGUGAGUAACGCGUGAGGAACCUGCCUUGAAGAGGGGGACAACAGUUGGAAACGACUGCUAAUACCGCAUGAUGCAUAAGGGUCGCAUGAUUCUUAUGCCAAAGAUUUAUCGCUUCAUGAUGGCCUCGCGUCUGAUUAGCUAGUUGGCGGGGUAACGGCCCACCAAGGCGACGAUCAGUAGCCGGACUGAGAGGUUGAACGGCCACAUUGGGACUGAGAUACGGCCCAGACUCCUACGGGAGGCAGCAGUGGGGAAUAUUGGGCAAUGGGCGCAAGCCUGACCCAGCAACGCCGCGUGAAGGAAGAAGGCUUUCGGUAUGUAAACUUCUAUCAGCGGGGAAGAAAAGUGACGGUACCUGACUAAGAAGCCCCGGCUAACUACGUGCCAGCAGCCGCCGU